rnacentral:rRNA from 1 species
UAGGGAAUCUUGCGCAAUGGGCGAAAGCCUGACGCAGCAACGCCGCGUGCGGGAAGAAGGCCCUAGGGUUGUAAACCGCUUUCAGCAGGGAAGAAAAUGACGGUACCUGCAGAAGAAGGUGCGGCCAACUACGUGCCAGCGGCCGCGGUGACACGUAGGCACCAAGCGUUGUCCGGAUUUAUUGGGCGUAAAGAGCUCGUAGGCGGUUCAGUAAGUCGGGUGUGAAAACUCUGGGCUCAACCCAGAGACGCCACCCGAUACUGCUGUGACUUGAGUACGGUAGGGGAGUGGGGAAUUCCUGGUGUAGCGGUGAAAUGCGCAGAUAUCAGGAGGAACACCAGUGGCGAAGGCGCCACUCUGGGCCGUAACUGACGCUGAGGAGCGAAAGCGUGGGGAGCAAACAGGAUUAGAUACCCCUGUAGUCCCUGAGCGGGCUGGCAAGGCGCAU